ACUCAAUUUCGAUUCCUUCAGCUGCAACUUCAUUAAAUCUCUUCUCAUCUCAUCUCUUUUCUUUCUUUUUUUCUUUUCGUCCCCAAAUCCCUGAUUUCAAUUGAAAUCUGGAAGCCCAGUUAUAAAGCUUUCAAAGCUUCAAAUUCCGAAUGAAUUUUGUACUAGGUAGCUCGAGCUUCAGGUGCUGGUUAUCAUUUUCCUUUUGAUGAAAAGGUAAAGCUUCAUGUUCUCAUCCACGUUGAAGUCCGAGAAUUAUCGAGCUAGCUGAACUUUGAGAGUUAACCCAUAACUAUAUUCUGUAAUGUGCGCAGAAUCUGCAUAAAAACCUUAGUGGUGCUCCGCCCUGCACCUAGGCUUGCUAUUUGUAUGCCGAAAGGAAAUUUCAAUUGACAAGAGAUUUUUCGUGCCCGGCUCUAGAACCUUUGAGAGCACAAAAUUGAAACAGGUUUAUAGAUUCAAAUUCUAUACCGAAUUCUUAAUCUUAAUGCUCGCAAUCUUCUUUUCUCAUGACUUCGAGGUCAGCGGCGGAGCUAGAAUGGAUCCGCCAUUGUUCGAGGUGGUAUUACAGCAGGAUCAUAGCUCUUGCACAACUAAAACAUACUAAAAUCUGAUAGAAGGUAAUACAGGACCUACGGACUGUUAUAGAAGUCGUGAGUGCUGCAAUCACGGAAGUUAAGUGUGAUAUUAUGAUUAAAAACAGUUGAUGUGGGAAUUAUCGAUGUUCAGUGGAAAGAUGUCUCUGCUUCAAUAUCAAGUAUUAUCACCUUGCAUAUACAUAUACUACAUCCUUUUGGGUAGGUACAUUUUUUACCCAAUUUUAUAAAGUCUCGACCCUGAGCAUGUUAUAAUGCAUAAAAUUUACUCUGAAAUGCACCACCCUUUGUAAACCAGAGCUAUAAUAUAUGCGGGGAAUUAUAUAAUCAGCACAGCAAAGUUUUUGGUAGGUUCACCUAUACUUUAUGUGAUCGACGGUAAAGGUUUUGCUGAAGUGUUUGUUGGUUGGUUCAUGGGCCAACUGUUAUUUAGGUAGAAGAGCGGCAGGCGCAUAGCGCUGCGUCUAAAAUAGAGCGGCAGGUAUUGCACGUGCGUCUAGACUAGAGCGACAGGCGCAUAUAGCGCGAAUGGAGUGGCAGGCGCAUCGCGCAUGCGAACCGUGGCCACCCACUUUUACAAAAUUACCCUUACUUAUUUCUCGGUCAAAACUGUAGAACAAAAGGUGAUACCGUAAGUUGACUGAACAAUAGAAAACCAAUUUCGUUUUCUCUAUCGUCUUCUGUCUCGAAACUCUUUGCGUCUGAAACACCUCCACCAUGAAAGAGAUAUCUGAAACACCUCCACCUCCACCAUGAAAGAUGAAGGAAGGCUACGGAAAAUCGAAGGCUUACAAUAAGAUUGAAUCCAUCAACCAUUGCAGUUGCUGUCCAUUUCUCAUUCUACGGAAAUAUAAGACUUUAACAUCACAGGCAGUACAUCUUUGUUGUAAUGGAAGGCAAACAAGUCUUUGAUCCCCGUCGUAGCGCUAGAAUCAUUGAGCAAACUCGAAUUCAAGAGUUGAUAGAAACAUCAACGGAGCACAACACUAUACCACAACUCCGUUGAAGUCCUCGAAUUGCAGAGCAAGCUCGAAUUCGAGAGAAAAUGGAUAUGAUAAAUGAAAGGAAAAGGCAAUGUCGCCAUGAUUUGGACCCACAGGAGAGAGCUCAUGAGCUACAGCAGCGCCGAAUUCUUGAGAGAGCCAAACAAAGCUCAAUGACAACACACGAAAGGGAGGCUUUCCUUAAAGGUUUUUUCUUUAAUAAUGCUCAUUCUUUACCGGAAAUUGGUUUGUCAUUUUAACAGGGCGAGGAUCUACGGUUGGCAAGACACAUAUGUGCUCACUAAGGCCAUGGGAGAAAUGAUGAUCAACAGUAUGAGAGGGGAUAUACCUGUAGCCAUAAUACGUCCGAGUGUCAUUGAAAGUACUUACAAGGAACCUUUUCCAGGAUGGAUGGAAGGAAACAGGAUGAUGGAUCCAAUAAUUUUAUACUAUGCUAAAGGCAUUUAGUUAACCCAAAAGGAGUUCUUGACGUGGUGCAUUGAAGAGGUAUAGAAAUUAGCUGCUGGCAUCCAUUAUCUGUGCUUCCAAAACAGUGUCUAAUCCUUUAGCAAUUGAUGUGGCAAGAUAUUAUUAAGAUGAUUCUCGAGGUUGGCAGGCCAACAAAUUCUCCACUAUUAUCAUUUUUGAAUCAUAAGAAACGGCACACAGCACAAGUAAUGGAAGUUCGCUUUUUAUGUUUUUUGAUUGAAGCUACACCUCUGUGGCAAUGGCCCGCAAGUCUUUGUUCCCCUGUUGUGGCCUUUAAAAUUAUAGAGUAAGAUAGAAUUAUUGGAUGAACAUUUUGCGUUAAUGGGUAUUGUAAUUGGAAAAUUAUUGGAUGAAAAUUGGGUAUCGUAAUGGGUAUUGUAAUUGGAAAAUUAUUGGAUGAAAAUUUGGAUUAACAGAAUGACAGGCGCAUCGCGCAUGCAUGCUAUACUAGUACCUCUUAACUAAAUGCUCAUUUAUAACAAGGAAGACACUCGUGUCAUGCCUAACAACUUGCCAAACACAUGCUUUGCGUCGCACAUUGGGAUUUACGGACCAAGACAUAGUUGCCAAACUUAAGAAGAUGAAGCAUAAAUUUUGAACAAUAUACCAUGCAGAAGAAAGUUAAUAAAUCAGGGAGUAACUUCCAUAGACCUAUACAGAUAUUCACAAAUUAUUAUAUUACAUACAUGGGACCAGAGAGAUAAUGACUACUACUACUUCCACCAGAGAGAUGCCUAGAGAAUCUUGUCCGGACUGAUAGAUGGUUGUUAUGUACAAACAUGAUAACACUCUGAAACAUAGAGAAUGGAU